AUUGAACGCUGGCGGCAGGCUUAACACAUGCAAGUCGAACGCGCGGCGGACGGGGUAGUAAUUUAUUGGGACUGCCCCGUUGAGGGGGAUCACUUCUGGAAAACGUAGCUAAUACCGCCUACUAUCGGCUAACCCAUAUGGGAUUAGCUAGUUGGUGGGGUAAUGGCUCACCCAGGCGACGAUCCCUAGCUGGUCUGCGAGGAGGAUCAGCCACACUGGGACGGAGACACGGCCCAGACUCCGACGGAGGCAGCAGUGGGGAAUAGUGCACAAGGGGCGCAAGCCUGAUGCAGCCAUGCCGCGUGUAUGAAGAAGGCCUUAGGGUUGUAAAGUACUUUCAGUCGGGAGGCGUUACCGACAGAAGAAGCACCGGCUAACUCCGUGCCAGCCGCCGCGGUAAUUC
rnacentral:rRNA from 1 species